GGCCAUGGCGGCGGGCAGAUCCACCCCCUCCCCUACUCCGUUCCCUCGACGCCCGGCGGUCAUCCCCCAUUAGGCCACCCGCAGCAGCUCACCCGCCCCUCCUCCUCCUUCCCGACGCCGACGCGCUCGUUCCCCGCCUUCCCCCUCCUGAACCGCCUCCUCCCCCCCGCCGAUCCUUCGAUUCCCCGUGGCCCUAGGCCAGCGCUGACGGUUUCCUGGCUCCCGCGGGCGAUUCCAGCAUGGUGGUCGUCGGCUCCGCGGACUCGAAGAUGAAGACGGAGGUGGAGGAGAGCGAGCUGGCCGAAGGUGAGGCGGUUCCAACCCUAGCCGCCGCAGUGGGUCACCAGCGCCGCGUCUCCCUCACCUCUGUCGGCCGACAGCACCGAGGGUUGCUUUCCUCCUGCCUUCAUGCGCGCCAGCAAUCGGGACCUGCAGUCUCCACCACCGGUGUCGGAAUUAUGUCAGGACAGGAAAUCAAGGGCUUGCGGAAGAGAUAGGAGGUCCAUGGAGAAGAUGCUCUGCUCCACCUCCAACCCACCCUGCCUGCUACUACAGGAACAGGAUGCCAUGGAAGGUACAGUGGUGCUGCUGGUUCCUUGAGGCGGGGUCGAGUUGAGGUAGGGGAUAGGAAGGUUGAGCCGCUCGGGUGCUGAUCAUGUACAUCGGCGCUCCUUCUGGGGUUGACCCGACCAAACCAAUGAUGCAAGGCUUCUCCUGCUGCUGCAUGUCUUCAUCAACUUAGUUCUUCCACAGGGAGAGAUCUAAAUCCUUCACUUGUUCACUGUGUAAUCUGCAGAUUACUUCUUCCAUUAAUCACCUAGUGCUCCUGUUAGUGAGAUUCAUCUAGUAUUUUUUUCCAAAGCAUGAAAUGGUUUGGAGUAGUUGAUCAUGGCCUGAUGGAAACUUCAUGUCGUUAGCAUGUAUAUAUGUACUACUACAGCAGCCAGAAGCAAUCCAUUUUAUUAAAUGCAUUCAUCUCAUUACACUAGCUACCCCAACUUGUUUGGGACUAAAGGCUUUGUUGUUGUUGUUGUAUUCAUCUCAUUACACUAGCUAGCACAAUAUAUUAGUUAAGGCAACUCUACUACAUAUCAAUUUCCCCUACUGGAUUGGUUCUAUAUUUUUAAAGUUGUUUCGUGGUGCAUGAGCCCAACCUGAAGAAAUAUAGGCUUAUGAUGACUAUUUUCCUUCUUAAGUAAUCAUAGUUGUUGGCUUCGGUAGCUUGCUGAAUAUGUUUUAGUUAUAUAUAGAAAUGAUGUGCCUUCUAUGCUUAAAUGAUUGUUUGGCUCUAUAUAAUUGUUGACAUGAAUAUCUUGACUUCCCAAACAAGUAUAGGACUGUACCUAUGCAUACAGAUUAUCCUAACAAAACUGAAAAUAAAAAUUGAAGCAUGAAAUAAGCAAUAAGUGGCUGAUUUUUAUUUGCAUGUUAAGCGGAAAGUUGUAGAUAAGGCUUGUAUAUAUAGCAUAGUGCUUGCCAGUUGGUUCUUUCACCUUUGUGGUGAUCCACUCAAUGAUCAGUCAGUACGAACAGCUAGGAUGGAAUAAAAUGUUUGUUACAUCAGAUGGCACCGAACAUGGUUAUGCAUGGUUUAUAUAUAGUAAUACACGUGUCAGUCCAAUCAAGGCAUUUCUUAGUCUUACUAAUUGUCUUAGUCUGAAAUUAUGAUGUGUUGUAAUUCACCUGCUCUUGACUUUAUAUCCGUCUUACUCUGCAAAUUUUGUAGGAUCAAGUGGCUGGGCCCAGAUUUGUCUGGACCGUUGGAUUGAUGCAAGGGCGGGUUUAUAUGUAGUACACGUUUUGUACACUUUUAUGCCCAUAGGAGACCCCAGCCGGAGUAGUUCCUGCUGUCCUUUUGUCUUGUUCUCUUGCAAUUAUUUGUACUUCUUAAAAGUCUGAAGAAAUUGUCGGGUAAUUCACCUGCUGUUUUUCUCUUAAAAAACAGUGUUGGUUGUUGGA